CUUCAACCCCUCCGCUCCAGGAGAACCAGGCAGUGGGAUUUCUGCCCACUGGGUGCCCGCUGAGCACAGCCAGUAACUCCAGCCUCCCGGCCCACUUGGCUCCUGGUGAGAGAAGUAGCGUAGGCGAAGGCCAUAGGUCCUGUGCAUCUUAGUUUCCUCAUCGAUGGACAUCCAGGAGAACGUUCUUCCACCGACGACGGACGGCUGUUGAGGGCUUUCUACGGACCCUGAAGCAGUGCUCAGCAUGGGUCGACCUAGAGUAAACCCUGAAGCAGUAAGCUGUGCCACCAUGCAUCAGUACCCAGCACCAUUCAUAUGUGCACCACCACCUCCAUCUUCUGUGACAGAUGUACACCACCACCUCCAUCUUCUCUGACAGAUGUGCACCACCACCUCCAUCUUCUAUGACAGAUGUGCACCACCACCUCCAUCUUCUAUGACAGAUGUGUGCCACCACCUCCACCUUCUGUGACAGAUGUGCACCACCACCUCCAUCUUCUAUGACAGAUGUGCACCACCACCUCCAUCUUCUAAACUGGUCUCAAUCACUGGUUCUCAAUUAAGAGUAAUUUUGUUCUUUAGCAUACCUCUGGUAAUGUCUAAGAUAAUGUUCAUGGUUACAGUGUGGAUAAGAAGGUUAUGGGUUGGUCAGUCUUAACUUGACUGUUUUGAGAUGUAGGUAGGAGAUUGGUAAGUCACACGUCUGGGUGUCUGUGAGGAUGUUACCCAUGGGUAGGGAGAACUGCUCUGAAUGUGAGCAUCACCACUGUAGCAUGAAUCUUAAAAGUUCUUAUUAAUAAAAACAAACCCAGGGCCAGGUACUGGGGUGAAUGCUGGAAGAUCAGAGAUGCAGAACAAGCCACAGCUUCCUCACCUCACCAAUUCCUCAGCUGAUCCUGUUUCCUCAAACUGGAAGCUUCUGAGUCCUCAUCCAAAUGGAUCUCAGCUGAACUGCUGCUAAAAAGCCUAAAUGCUUAACCAGCCUAAAAGCUUAACCAGCCUAAUUCCUGGUUUUCACGCCUUAUAUACCUUUCUGCUUUCUGCCAUCACUUCCUGGGAUUAAAGGCUCACUUCCUGGGAUUAAAGGCGUGAGUCACCAUGCCUGGCUGUUUCCAGUGUGGCUUUGAACUCACAGAGAUCCAGAUGGAUCUCUGCCUCCCAAGUGAUAGGAUUAAAGGUGUGUGUGCCACCAUUUUCUGACCUCUAUGUCUGUCUAGUGGCUGUUCUGUUCUCUGACCCUAGAUAAAUUUAUUAGGCUGCAUGAUAUAUUGGGGAACAUAAUAUCACCACACACCACCUCCUAGUCUGGGGACCCAGGGGAGUAAAGGGGAAGGAGGAAGAGGCUGCAGAGCACUGGUGCGCUGCUCUCUCUGGGACUCGGUGGCCAUGAGUGAAGAAGCAGCUUGGUUCUCUGUGCCUUUCCAUCCCAAAGUACUGCCUUGCCACAAACCAGAAGCAGGGAGCCAGCUGUACCAGGACUAGAACCUCUGAAACUGAGGCCAAACGAUUCUUCCCCUCUUCCUCUUAAGUAAUUUCUCUUUAGGUAUUGGUAAGAACCCCCACCCCUCUUUCACACAUACACACACACACACACACACACACACACACACACACACACACACACACAUACACGGCUGAUGACAUCUAGUAGGUAGAGACCAGGAGUCUCUAAACAUGGGAUCCAACAGGAAAAUCCUCAACAAAGAAUUUCCCCACCCCAAAAUGUUACCAAGGCCAAGACUGAGGAGCCCUCUUUAAAUGAGUUUUUGUUUGUUUGGUUGGUUGGUUGGUUAGUUAGUUUUAGGGGGUUUUGUUGUUGUUGUUGUUGUAUUAGGUCUGGAAGAUGUAUCUAUUGAAAACAGAACUUUAACUGUAGUAAGAGAAAAACUAUUUAUUGCUUAUUAAGCUUUAUUUAGUGAGUAUGUUAUGAUCAAUGCAACUAAUUCUUAAAUGAAAGAUAUUGGGUUUAAGAAAUGGCAAUUAUGUGAAAUAUAGUAUACACAAUUAAUACACAAUAAUGACAUGAAACAAAUGAUUAUACAUUUUCAUUUCAUGCACAUUUACUUUGUUAUGACAAUUUCUUAAUGAAAUUACUUUCAUGGUAUAAAAAGAUACUGCCUUCUAAAACACUUAAUGAAUAAUUAACAAAGGCCCCAGCAGUAUAGAUUUAAACAGGACAAGCAGAUCUUUUCCCUCUUUUGGGAGAAAUAUUUAAAUAGAACUCAGGUAAUUAAUUAUGCUUGAAGGUAGUUUAGAUGCUAUGUGUUAAAAUUCUGGGUAGUACAUCACCACAUAAUCAUAUCCAUUUUAGCAAGCAUAUUGGUUUAUUUACAGCUGGGUUGCUAUUUUCUCUUCCAUCAUUUCUUACCCUCUCCGUUUACAAUAUAGCCACAUAUAGCAUAUGCAAGAUUGAAAAAUGCCAAGUCCAGUUGACAUGGGAAUGGGAAUGGGAAAAUUUCACAAGAUCCCACCCCUCCACAACAAGCUAUGGGCUCCCAAUGGCUGCUAAGAGAGGAAGAAUCAGCCUUCUCCAGUGACGAGCUCCAUCGUAAGCCGUCAGCCCUAAAGACGUGUGAAUACAGGCAACAGUAAGUGGGUUCCGCCUGCUGUCCAUGUACACAUACACCCGAGUUUCGUAUGCAUACAUAUGCAAAAUGACAAUUGUAGGAGGAGAGAUCAUGAAUUUGAUCGGGAGUAUGGCAGGGGAUGCAACAUGGCUGAAACACAUUAUUUAUGUAGACCAAUCUGGAAUCAAACUCAGAAAGAUUUGCCUUUGUCUGUUUUCCAAGUGCUGGUAUUAAAGACAUGUGCUACCAUGCCCAGAAAAAAAGUUUAAAUUUUUAAAAAGACAUUAUUUAUUUAUUUAUUCGUUUGUUUAUUUGUUUGUGAGUGUGUGUAUAUGUGUGCGUGUGUGCACGUGUAUGUGCGCGCGCGCGCGCGUGUGCGUGUGCGUGCACGCACACGAUGUGUAUGCCACGUGCCUCGCAGGUCAGAAGAAGACAUCAGAUCUCCUGGAACUGAAGAUGGUUGUGAACUAUCAUAUGAAUGCUGGGAACUGAACCUCAGUCCUCUGCAAGAACAACUAGCACUCUCAACGGCUGAGUCAUCUCUACAGCUCCCCUCAAACCAUUCUCUACCCGGAAGAUGCUUCUGAAAUUUCAUCCACUCUGCUUCCUCGAGUGCCUUAGCUCCCACAGGCUCUGAAUCCCGGGCCUUGGCACACACAGGCUAUUGUCAAGUGGUGCCUGAGUGCUGGGCUGGGGAGUCUCACGUAAUGGCAUUUAUUUGAGAGCUUGUUAGAGCCAAGAGCCAUUGCACCACACUGCCUUCCCACUUUCGGACGCUUAGUUCACCGGUGCACUGGUUGGCAUUUUAGAGCGGCUCUCGGGGAAAGCCCAUUUUGCCCAGUCUGUGGUAUUUGACAAUUUCCAUGGCGCAACUAUUCCAACCUUUGCCAA